rnacentral:rRNA from 1 species
GACGAACGCUGGCGGCGUGCUUAACACAUGCAAGUCGAGCGGUAAGGCCCUUCGGGUACGACGAGCGGCGAACGGGUGAGUAACACGUGGGUGACCUGCCCUUAGCUCUGGGAUAAGCCUGGGAAACUGGGUCUAAUACCGGAUAUGACCUCAUGACGCAUGUUGUGGGGUGGAAAGCCUUGUGCGGCUAGGGAUGGGCCCGCGGCCUAUCAGCUUGUUGGUGGGGUGAUGGCCUACCAAGGCGACGACGGGUAGCCGGCCUGAGAGGGCGACCGGCCACACUGGGACUGAGACACGGCCCAGACUCCUACGGGAGGCAGCAGUGGGGAAUCUUGCGCAAUGGGCGAAAGCCUGACGCAGCGACGCCGCGUGAGGGAUGACGGCCUGGUGU